rnacentral:rRNA from 1 species
CGCCAAGGCGGCAUGCUUUAACAUGCAGUCGACGGCAGCGGAGAGGUGCUUGCACUUCUGCCGGCGAGUGGCGAACGGGUGAGUAAUGCAUCGGAACGUACCGAGUAAUGGGGGAUAACCUGCCGAAAGGUGGGCUAAUACCGCAUACGCCCUGAGGGGGAAAGUGGGGGACCGCAAGGCCUCACGUUAUUCGAGCGGCCGAUGUCGGAUUAGCUGGUUGGUGGGGUAAAGGCCUACCAAGGCGACGAUCCGUAGCGGGUUUGAGAGGAUGAUCCGCCACACUGGGACUGAGACACGGCCCAGACUCCUACGGGAGGCAGCAGUGGGGAAUUUUGGACAAUGGGGGCAACCCUGAUCCAGCCAUGCCGCGUGAGUGAAGAAGGCCUUCGGGUUGUAAAGCUCUUUCAGUCGGGACAAAAGCGCAUGCGUGAAUAGCGUGUGUGGAUGAUGGUACCGGCACAAGAAGCACCGGCUAACUACGUGCCAGCAGCCGCGGUAA